CGUUGUUGCUGUUUUUUGUUAUUUUUUUAUGCAGCUAUUUCUUCUUUUGUUGUUAAUGUAAAAUUUUAUAUUUUUUUUCAUUAAAGGUUGAACUGUCGGCUAACCAAACCAAAGAAAUGAACAUCAUAAUUUGUGUAAAAGAUGAAUUGGCGCAACAAAUAUAAUAAGUUUUAUAUCAAACAAUAUUUUCAAACGAUAAAAAUUGGCGCCAUCUGAUUAACUUUACCGACAAAAUGGCGCAAGCAAACCUUAUAAAAUGUUGUCAUUCUUUUACCACGACUAUACACACGAACAUGGAGAGGAGAUGAGAGAAGAAGGGUGAAUCAUCUGUAUAUAAUAAUACUGACGACCGUACACAAUUUUUUUGAGCAAAUCUCCAGCAAAGUUCCGAGAAAUAUAUGUGCCACAGAAAUUUAAUCAAAACCAAAUUCCAGCAUGGAAAAAAGGAAUACAAAAUAUCAUCCAACCACAAAUACACACAAACGUACCUACUCACAAGAAAACAUAAGAUAGUGUUUCUUUGUCAUCAUGCUAGCGCAUACAAAAGCCGACCAGGCACAAAAGAAUCCCUGAAGGUAGGUAAUUAUGGAAAGAUGUGCGGGAGGCAGAAGUGGCUUCAACAUAGACCAAAAAAUUCAAUGAGAUUGUGAACUUUUACUGACGAAUGCGCCUUGCAAAAAAAAAAAAACAAAAAAAUUAAACCAGAUUAAAAAAAGACAACUUAAAUAGAAACGGAAAAGGCGGUGUUAUCCAUUCGGACGUGGUCGCAAGGAAGAAGAUAAAUAUACCAUAUACCCAUAUGAUCAUAUAGCAACAUAUACGCACGUACUAUGUAUUUUCCAAUUUAUGGAUAAGGAACCAUCGCGCCACCGUUUCUUAAAAUAAGAAACAAAGGCAUUGCCUUCUUCAACAAAAAUCAACUAUUUCGUGUGUAACUUUCUAAGAUACAUGAUGGCACAAUCGACAAAUGCAGCACCAUUCAGUAAGACGCAGUUCUAAUUGGUUAUGCGUCGCACUGUAAAGCAGCAACAGCUAGCACCAAUGUCAGGGUACCAACCUAUCAACUACCCUCAGAUUAAGGAUUUUGGUAUUUUAUAUAACACUAUUAUAUAUAGUAUAAUAUAUAGUAUAACACUAUUUAUCCAAAGCCAGCGUUACCGUUAAGCGACUUUAGUAGCUAUUAGCGACCUUUUUGAAGCCUUAGCGACCAAGCGACGACUUUUUAUUUAAAGCGACCUUUUCACUAAUUUCGUAAUAGCGACUUUUUUUUUUCUUUCUAAAAAUUGUAUUUCUUUUUUAAUUCUGAACAUUUAGAGCUUCAAAUUUGUGUUUCUUUUUUCGUUCUGAACGUAUUCUGAGCUAGUUCAGAGCACCAUCGAUGGACUCAGAAUAAAAUAACUGAGCAGAACGAGUUGAAUGCUGAAGGCUGAACAAAAGCAUUUAGCAAGUGAAAUUGAAAAAAUUUCAAACAAAUAAAAUAAUGGCGUAAGAGUGCAGUAGUCGUUCUAGUUUUUUAUUUUUAUUUAACCCUUUUGAACCCAGCGUUACUCUCAUGUAACAUAUUUUUAAAAAUUCGUAAAAAAUAUUCCAUUAAAUAUUUUUUUAGGUUUCGAUGGCUUAAUUGAAAGAUAAUAAUGCCUAUUUAUUUAUUUAAUAUGUUAAAUGCUUACAUUAGAAAUAAACUUGAAUACUAACAAUGGAAUUAUUAAACUACUGGAUUAUUACAAAAAUUUAGUCAAAUAUCAUACCUUUAAUUUUUGUUAAUCGAAAAAGGGACUGAUAUUCACAUUUUUUUCUUUUUUUUUGCAAACAUUUUUUUUUAUA